AGUAAUGAGGCAACAUUUGUACAGCUAUUCGGCGUCCCCCUCAACAUCCUCUUCCUCAUCCUCAUCAUCAAGAACAACAAGUUCAUUAUUAAGCAGCUCCUCCUCGUCGUUCUCCUCAUCCUGGGCUACUUGCAUGCGGUUCUCCUCCCCCCGCUGCCGGAGCGCCAGCGCAUCCCUACCAGCGGCGCAUGGCUGUCCCGCUUUGAAACAAUAACAAAUUCGCCUAGUAGGCCUACGUGGUAAAAUGUCUUUUUUUUAUUGCCAACAGUCCAUGAAAUUAGCCAAUAACAUUAAACAUAAGGAGAACAUGUAUUUAUGAAAUAUUACUUUGACUUUUUUUUCUUUUUUUACCCCCGGCCUUUAUUUGUCCGUAUCGACCACGCCCCCGGCUACUAUCUGAAGACUGGCCUCUAAUUGAAUCCCGUUCUUUAUUUGAGGAUUUACGGUAUAUGCUUUUCCCAGGACUCUCUUUGCCUAUAGUAAGAAGGUCCCACAAAUGGAAGACGGGCUCCAGAAUACAUACGUGAUCAAACCUGGAUACUGAGUUUGGACCAUUGCUCAGUGGCGAGACCAGAGACAGAUACAAAGAAAGGAGACGUCCAGUCAACACAGAGCGACUAGUGAUUCAUAACAUUUCAGGCCUGGAGGCUGAGGUCCAGUUCUAUUUCCAGCAUGAUAGCCAGGCCACCACGUACCUGCUGGACCCGCCGACUAUGACCCUCAAACCCGACCAGAAACAGGAGUUGACAGUGUGGGCGUACCCAACAAAACUGGGACAAAUGACGGACAGCAUUGUGUGCCAUGUCAAGGACAAUCCAGAACUUGUCAACGUCAAACUUUCCCGCCGGGGCGUUCGGCCGGAGCUGGAGCUGGAAAGAAACCAUUGUCACUUUCAAAGGACAUUGCUGAAUAGGCGGGAGAGCAGCAGAAUGACGCCGCAUAACAAGACUGCUCUGCCGGUGUCUUGGAGACUGCGGGGCGUGGAGGAUUUAGGUGAUGAGUGUGCCACAGGAUCAGGGCAUUGUUUUACCCAACUCCUCUUACCAACUGAGCUUACACUUCAGGGCCAAGAGGCCACUCCACGUUAAGAAGAUCUUAUAUCUGGAGGUAUCUGAUGUGGGGAUGAUUCUAGGCAUCGUGCAAAAAGAAAAAAUACAGGUCACAGCUGAAGCCUAUGUCAUUGAUUUGGAGAUCACACCAAAUGGCUGUGUGAACUUUGGAACCAUUAAAGUUUUGAAGAGGCCAAACUGUCUCUCAGGAUGAAGAACCUAGGGAAGUAUGAAAUAGCCUAUAAGUGAUUGAACCCAGCAUUGGGAAUGGUGGAGAACUCAUAGCCACUAUAGCAAUUGAGGUUUCAGUCAAGUCGGUCUUCUCCAGGUACAAGAUCAUACUUGCAUGUGACCUCAACUUUG